rnacentral:rRNA from 1 species
GAUGAACGCUGGCGGCGUGCCUAAUACAUGCAAGUCGAGCGAACAGACGAGGAGCUUGCUCCUCUGACGUUAGCGGCGGACGGGUGAGUAACACGUGGAUAACCUACCUAUAAGACUGGGAUAACUUCGGGAAACCGGAGCUAAUACCGGAUAAUAUAUUGAACCGCAUGGUUCAAUAGUGAAAGACGGUUUUGCUGUCACUUAUAGAUGGAUCCGCGCCGCAUCAGCUAGUUGGUAAGGUAACGGCUUACCAAGGCAACGAUGCGUAGCCGACCUGAGAGGGUGAUCGGCCACACUGGAACUGAGACACGGUCCAGACUCCUACGGGAGGCAGCAGUAGGGAAUCUUCCGCAAUGGGCGAAAGCCUGACGGAGCAACGCCGCGUGAGUGAUGAAGGUCUUCGGAUCGUAAAACUCUGUUAUUAGGGAAGAACAAAUGUGUAAGUAACUAUGCACGUCUUGACGGUACCUAAUCAGAAAGCCACGGCUAACUACGUG